UGGGGAAUAUUGGACAAUGGGCGAAAGCCUGAUCCAGCCAUGCCGCGUGUGUGAAGAAGGUCUUCGGAUUGUAAAGCACUUUAAGCGAGGAGGAGGGUACUGGUAUUAAUACUACCAGGUACUGGACGUUACUCGCAGAAUAAGCACCGGCUAACUCUGUGCCAGCAGCCGCGGUAAUACAGAGGGUGCGAGCGUUAAUCGGAUUUACUGGGCGUAAAGCGUGCGUAGGCGGCUAAUUGAGUCGGAUGUGAAAUCCCCGAGCUUAACUUGGGAAUUGCAUUCGAUACUGGUUAGCUAGAGUGUGGGAGAGGAUGGUAGAAUUCCAGGUGUAGCGGAGAAAUGCGUAGAGAUCUGGAGGAAUACCGAUGGCGAAGGCAGCCAUCUGGCCUAACACUGACGCUGAGGUACGAAAGCAUGGGGAGCAAACAGG
rnacentral:rRNA from 1 species